GACGAACGCUGGCGGCGUGCCUAAUACAUGCAAGUCGAGCGAAUCACUUCGGUGGUUAGCGGCGGACGGGUGAGUAACACGUGGGCAACCUGCCUGUAAGACUGGGAUAACACCGGGAAACCGGUGCUAAUACCGGAUAAUCCUUUUCCUCUCAUGAGGGAAAGCUGAAAGUCGGUUUCGGCUGACACUUACAGAUGGGCCCGCGGCGCAUUAGCUAGUUGGUGAGGUAACGGCUCACCAAGGCGACGAUGCGUAGCCGACCUGAGAGGGUGAUCGGCCACACUGGGACUGAGACACGGCCCAGACUCCUACGGGAGGCAG
rnacentral:rRNA from 1 species